GUGCUUGCCUUGGCAGCUCAUUUACUAAAAUUGGAAUAAUACAGAGAAGAUUGGUGUGGCCCUGCAAAAGGAUGACAUGCACAUUUGUGAAGUAUCCUAUAGUUUC
ensembl:snRNA Gm26439 U6 spliceosomal RNA